rnacentral:rRNA from 1 species
UACAGAGGGUGCGAGCGUUAAUCGGAAUUACUGGGCGUAAAGCGUGCGUAGACGGUCAUGUAAGUCGGGUGUGAAAUCCCCGGGCUCAACCUGGGAAUUGCAUUCGAGACUGCGUGGCUAGGGUGCGGAAGAGGGAAGCGGAAUUUCCGGUGUAGCGGUGAAAUGCGUAGAUAUCGGAAGGAUCAUCAGUGGCGAAAGCGGCUUCCUGGUCCAGCACCGACGUUCAGGCGCGAAAGCGUGGGUAGCAAACAUG